rnacentral:misc_RNA from 1 species
UUGAAUCCUUAGGAUGUCGCUGGCCUUUUUGCAAAAAAAGGCAUGUGCACUCCGCCUUUCAAUCCACCUGUGCACUUAUUGUAGGAAAAGGGGUAACCCUAAUCCUACGUAUUUUUACACACACUUUAAAAGUAAUAGAAUGUAUCUUAGUAGACCUUAUGGUCGAAAACCUAAAUA